UGAGGAAUCUUCCGCAAUGGGCGAAAGCCUGACGGAGCGACACCGCGUGAAGGAUGAAGGCCUUCGGGUUGUAAACUUCUUUUUUGAGGGAAUAAAUGAUGAAGGUACCUCAAGAAUAAGCACCGACAAACUAUGUGCCAGCAGUCGCGGUAAUACAUAGGGUGCAAGCGUUAUCCGGAAUUAUUGGGCGUAAAGCGUUAGUAGGCGGUUUUCUAAGUUUGUUGUUAAAUCUGAGCGCUCAACGUUCAACUUGCAACAAAAACUGGAAAACUAGAGAAUGGCAGAGGCUACUGGAAUUCUACAUGUAGGGGUAAAAUCCGUAGAUAUGUAGAGGAACACCAAAAGCGAAGGCAGGUAGCUGGGCCAUUUCUGACGCUGAGUAACGAAAGCGUGGGUAGCA
rnacentral:rRNA from 1 species